GGAAGUACAAGUCGUAACAAGGUUUCCGUAGGUGAACCUGCGGAAGGAUCAUUAACAAAUCCAAGGGCCCUCUCCGUCUUAAUUGGGGAGAGCGGUCGUAUGUUCCGGUGCUGAGCGCUGUGGCGCAAGGUAACCGUGUUCAACGUGCUCUGCACAAGUAUGUAAGUCGGACUGAAACAACAUGGUGGGAACUCAACAAACAACUUUUAACAAUGGAUCUCUAGGCUCUU
rnacentral:misc_RNA from 1 species